GUUUGUUGAAAAUCAUCCUUAACUCUGGCCUAUGGCCGGGGGUGAGAUUCGGCGACCAGAGCCACUGAGGCCUCAGCUCACUGCCCGCUGCACCCAGUGUGGGAGGGUGAAACCCAGGCCCCGACAUUC